GACGAACGCUGGCGGCGUGCUUAACACAUGCAAGUCGAGCGGUAAGGCCCUUUCGGGGGUACACGAGCGGCGAACGGGUGAGUAACACGUGGGUGACCUGCCCUCAGCUCUGGGAUAAGCCCGGGAAACUGGGUCUAAUACUGGAUAUGACUCCAUGACGCAUGUUGUGGGGUGGAAAGCCUUGUGCGGCUGAGGAUGGGCCCGCGGCCUAUCAGCUUGUUGGNGGGGUGAUGGCCUACCAAGGCGACGACGGGUAGCCGGCCUGAGAGGGCGACCGGCCACACUGGGACUGAGACACGGCCCAGACUCCUACGGGAGGCAGCAGUGGGGAAUCUUGCGCAAUGGGCGAAAGCCUGACGCAGCGACGCCGCGUGA
rnacentral:rRNA from 1 species